rnacentral:rRNA from 1 species
GAUGAACGCCGGCGGUGUGCCUAAUACAUGCAAGUCGUACGCACUGGCCCAACUGAUUGAUGGUGCUUGCACCUGAUUGACGAUGGAUCACCAGUGAGUGGCGGACGGGUGAGUAACACGUAGGCAACCUGCCCCGGAGCGGGGGAUAACAUUUGGAAACAGAUGCUAAUACCGCAUAACAACAAAAGUCACAUGGCUUUUGUUUGAAAGAUGGCUUUGGCUAUCACUCUGGGAUGGACCUGCGGUGCAUUAGCUAGUUGGUAAGGUAACGGCUUACCAAGGCGAUGAUGCAUAGCCGAGUUGAGAGACUGAUCGGCCACAAUGGAACUGAGACACGGUCCAUACUCCUACGGGAGGCAGCAGUAGGGAAUCUUCCACAAUGGGCGCAAGCCUGAUGGAGCAACACCGCGUGAGCGAAGAAGUAUUUCGGUAUGUAAAGCUCUAUCAGCAGGGAA